rnacentral:rRNA from 1 species
AGUGAACGCUGGCGGUAGGCCUAACACAUGCAAGUCGAACGGCAGCACAGUAAGAGCUUGCUCUUACGGGUGGCGAGUGGCGGACGGGUGAGGAAUACAUCGGAAUCUACUUUUUCGUGGGGGAUAACGUAGGGAAACUUACGCUAAUACCGCAUACGACCUACGGGUGAAAGCAGGGGAUCUUCGGACCUUGCGCGAUUGAAUGAGCCGAUGUCGGAUUAGCUAGUUGGCGGGGUAAAGGCCCACCAAGGCGACGAUCCGUAGCUGGUCUGAGAGGAUGAUCAGCCACACUGGAACUGAGACACGGUCCAGACUCCUACGGGAGGCAGCAGUUGGGAAUAUUGGACAAAGGGCGCAAGCCUGAUCCAGCCAUACCGCGUUGGUGAAGAAGGCCUUCGGGUUGUAAAGCCCUUUUGUUGGGAAAGAAAAGCAGCAGGUUAAUACCCCGCUGUUCUGACGGUACCCAAAGAAUAAGCACCGGCUAACUUCGUG